rnacentral:rRNA from 1 species
UACGGGGGGGGCGAGCGUUGUUCGGAUUUACUGGGCGUAAAGGGCGCGCAGGCGGUUCUGUUUGUCGAGUGUGAAAGCCCCGGGCUCAACCUGGGAGGUGCGCUUGAUACUCGAGGGCUUGAGUGCGGGAGAGGAGAGUGGAAUUCCCAGUGUAGAGGUGAAAUUCGUAGAUAUUGGGAAGAACACCGGUGGCGAAGGCGGCUCUCUGGACCGUAACUGACGCUGAGGCGCGAAAGCGUGGGGAGCAAACAGG